rnacentral:ncRNA from 1 species
UUCAAGGUUCUUUACAUAUAAAGAUUAAUAGGGAAACAAGUGUAAGUCUUGUACUGUACCCGCAGCCGUAAUCUUCAUAAAAAGACCCUUAAAUCUAUAAAACCACUGACAAAACUAUUCAAUAAUUGAAUAUUAGUAGUUGGGAAGGUGAUAAGGGUUGAAGUAAGUCGGAAGACCUGCCUGAAAAUAAU